CUCACAUAUAUUGCCAGCCCUCUCCCUGCCCAGAACUCUUGUGACUGGCCCUAAGGCAGAUCAGGUGUUUAUUCCAUAUCCUUGAUGACAAAGAAACUGUGAUCGUGUUCUGGGGAAUGUCCCUUUUCCCAUUCAAGUGUAUGAUCAUAUUUUCAAGCAAUCACGUUUACAUUCAGCCUGGAAACUUUCUGCCCAGUUCUUAAGUUCUACUGCCAGCAGCUUGGAUACUACAGAAUGCUGAUUUAGCUCAUAGGAUGCAUUGAACCACUUUGCCAUGGUAACCAGCAGACAGACCUGAGAGAAGCAAGGCUGCAGAGAAACUGUAGCCAUCACCAAACAACAAAUCAAAGGGAAGUGUCUCAGGAGAGAUUUCUAAUUAUCAUACAUUUGUCCUUGCAGCCAAACCAGGAUGCAGUGGAAAUGGUGCCUUUGGCACUAGCAUCUUAGGUCACAAAAUCAGGGUGGCUGAGUGAGGACACCAAACCUAUUCUUAGGAGGUUGUCUUGAAAUUCUUACUAACUUUUGAACGUGGAACCCUACAUCUUCGUUUUGUACUGGUCCCCACAUAUUUUAUAGCUGAUCUGAAGGAGGAGAGAGAGAUGAUGGGGGAUGAAGGGUAUGGAAUUGUAUGCUAUGGCUGCCUGCUGUCGAAGUUCUCCAGGGUCCAGAGAGGAUUUAAGUUGCUGGAAUAAUCCACCCAGUCUUCGAGAUGUGAUUAUAUAAUUGAUGGUAUGUGGAUAUCACUGAUCACAAAACACAAUAAAGGACCUAAGGCAACAUCUUUGUUCUUUCUCAAUGUGGGGAAAAUGUUUUUGUUCUACUUGGUAAGUGGCCUCUGCAGUGUCUCUUGGAGACCUCAAUAAAUGA
rnacentral:lncRNA from 10 species